rnacentral:rRNA from 1 species
UUGAGAGGAGUUGCCCCUAGUACGAGAGGACCGGGGUGAACGAUCCACUGGUGGACCUGUUGUUGCGCCAGCAGCAGUGCAGGGUAGCUAUGAUCGGACAGGAUAACCGCUGAAGGCAUCUAAGCGGGAAGCCCCCCUCAAAACAAGGUAUCCCUGAGGGCCGUGGAAGACCACCACGUCGAUAGGCCGGAGAUGUAAGCAUGGUAACAUGUUCAGUUGACCGGUACUAAUGGCUCGAUAGGCUUGGUUUG